UUCAUCCACCUGGUCGUGUUUUCUCCGUACUUCAUCUCCACUCUGCUCCUGGUGUCCUUAUAUCGACACAAAGACAAAGGAGACAAUCUGCACAACUCAGUGGUUAUGAUUUCCUCCACUGGAUGAUCUGAGUUAUUAUAUCAUCACAGCCUUAAUCAUUAUAUUCAUAGAUUUCUCUGUAAUGGGACUGAAACAUUAAAUGUGACCAAGCAGAGCAGAUCUGAGUUUCUGUUUGAACUGAUCAAAUGUCCACUUUGAGUCUCACUGGAGGAGAAACGGUCAGAUCAACGGAAAUAACAUCUAAAAAUAGGUCAGUGUCUGUAAUUAGUGACAUCAUAACCUUCUGUCCUUUUACCUGGUUUCUUCAUUAAAAUAAAGUUAUUUAAUUUGUUG